rnacentral:rRNA from 1 species
CAACUUACCCUUGGGACCGGGAUAACUCCUGGGAAACUGGAGAUAAUACCGGAUAGAGCAUCGAAUGCUGGAAUGCACGAUGUUCAAAAGCUGAGGUGCCCAAGGAUAGGUCUGCGGCCGAUUAGGUUGUUGUUGAUGUGAUGGAUUAACAAGCCUACGAUCGGUAUGGGUUGUGAGAGCAAUAGCCCAGAGAUGGGUUCUGAGAAAAGAACCCAGGUCCUACGGGACGCAUCAGGCGCGAAAACUUUACAAUGUGCGAAAGCACGAUAAGGGAACUCUGAGUGCCUCCUACGGAGGCUGUUCAGUUGUCUAAAACGCAUCUGAAGGAAGGGCUGGGUAAGACCGGUGCCAGCCGCCGCGGUAACACCGGCAGCCCAAGUGGUAGCCAUGUUUAUUGGGUCUAAAGCGUCCGUAGCCGGCCACGUAAGUUCCUUGGGAAAUUUGAUCGCUUAACGGUCAAGCUUUCGGGGAAUACUGCCUGGCUUGGGACCGGGAGAGGUCAGAGGUACUCUAAGGGUAGGGGUGAAAUCCAUUAAUCCUUGGGGGACCACCGGUAGCGAAGGCGUCUGACCAGACCGGAUCCGACGGUGAGGGACGAAGGCUAGGGUCACGAACCGGAUUAGAUACCCGGGUAGUCCUAGCUGUAAACGAUGCGGGCCAGGUGUUGGCAUUACUGCGAGUGAUGCCAGYGCCGAAGGGAAGCCGUUAAGCCCGCCAUCUGGGGAGUACGGUCGCAAGGCUGAACUUAA